rnacentral:tRNA from 1 species
GGAGGGUAUGGCUCAGUGGUAGAGCAUUCGACUACAGAUCGAGAGGUCACCCGUUCAAACCCGGAUGCUCCCU